GGUGAAGACAACCAAACCUUUGCCUCCAUAAAUACAGGGACAACAACAACGUCAAGUGGGACUGAUACGCCAAAGGGCUUUCUGAUCAGCAACCUGUUGAAGACUACAGGCUGAAAGAUUUGUUGGUGGACACAGGCUGUGGGGCCUUGUGAUGUAAAAAGUGAAAGGGAUGGAAAACCCUGAUGGUGGUGGCUGGGCUCUGCCAAAGGGAGGCGCUAAGACAUAUUGCUAAUUAACAGCAGAUGGACGGAAGGAU